CACGUAGGGGGGCAAGCGUUGUCCGGAUUUAUUGGGCGUAAAGAGCUCGUAGGCGGCUCAGUAAGUCAGGUGUGAAACCUCCAGGCUCAACCUGGAGACGCCACCUGAUACUGCUGUGGCUAGAGUCCGGUAGGGGAGCGUGGAAUUCCUGGUGUAGCGGUGAAAUGCGCAGAUAUCAGGAGGAACACCAGCGGCGAAGGCGGCGCUCUGGGGCCGGAACUGACGCUGAGGAGCGAAAGCGUGGGUAGCAAACAGG
rnacentral:rRNA from 1 species